GGGACUGGUUUCAGGAUUCUCCUUCAAAAUCUGUGAAUGUGAGAGCCCCUAUAUAAAAUAGCAGAGGAUUUGUACAUAACCUACACACAUCCUCCACUACACUUUAAAUCAUCUCUAGAUUAUUUAUAAUACCUAAUACAGUGUAAAUACUAUACAAAUAGUUGUUACACAUUAUUGUUAUUUGCAUUAUUUUUAUUGUUGCAUUGUUAUUUUUUAUUGGAUUUUUUUCCAAAUAUUUUUGAUCUGCAGCUGGUUGAAUUCAAGCAUGCAAAACCCAUGGGUAUAGAAGGCCAACUGUAAUAAUUUUGUCUGCUCCAUGAAGAAUAACGAAUAGACUCAAAGGGAUAAUCAAAGAAGCAGCAAGACCACUUAGGAAGCUCCUGCAAUCAUCCAGGAGAUUAUUUUAAACUUGAUGGAUCAAUCCUCUUAAGGAUAACGAAUUUGGAUUUGCAAGAAUUCAAGGCAAUUCCGGGCCCAGCUUUUUGGAGGUAAAUCCACUGAGCCGGUGUGUACCUCACAAUAAAUAUCCUCCUGUAUUCACGCAUACUGGUCUCUCUAAUCCUCUGCGUCCCGCAACAAGCUGAGAGCGCGCCACUGCACUUGCAGUCUUGCACAUAGCAAGACUAUGUCUCAACAACAACAAAAAAGGUACAUAAGACAAUGGCAGACAAUAAUUGCUUCUGGGAGAAGAUAAGGGAAAAUAAAAAAGAAAGAGAUAUACUUUACACUUAAAGCCUUUGGCAUGGCUGGGUGCGGUGGCUCACACCUGUAAUCCCAGCACUUUGGGAGGCCGAGGCGGGCAGAUCACCUCACGUCAG
rnacentral:lncRNA from 1 species